AUGGAUUAGGCAUGCAAGUUCAGCGCGAAGUUCCCUUCGGGGAGCGGAAAGCGGCGAAAGGGAGAGUAACGCGUAGAUAUCUGCCCUCAGGUCUGGGAUAGCCAUCGGAAACGGUGAUUAAUACCAGAUAAUGUCUCAGGACCAAAGAUUUAUUGCCUGAGGAGGAGUCUGCGUCCUACUAGCUAGUUGGUGUGGUAAUGGCGCACCAAGGCGAAGAUGGGUAGCGGGCGUGAGAGCGUGGCCCGUCUCACUGGGACUGAGAUACUGCCCAGACAUCUACGGAUGGCUGCAGUCGAGAAUCUUCGGCAAUGGACGAAAGUCUGACCGAGCAAUGCCGCGUGCGGGACGAAGGCCUUCGGGUCGUAAACCGCUGUCAGAGGGAAGGAAAUUUUGACUGAACCUCAAAGGAAGCACAGGCUAAAUUCGUGCCAGCAGCCGCGGUAAUACGAAUUGUGCAAACGUUAUUCGGAAUCACUGGGCUUAAAGGGUGCGUAGGCGGCCAUGAAGGUCUGAUGUGAAAUCCCACGGCUCAACCGUGGAAUUGCGUUGGAAACCACAUGGCUUGAGGAAGACAGAGGUGAGCGGAACUAAUGGUGGAGCGGUGAAAUGUGUUGAUAUCAUUAGGAACACCGGUGGCGAAAGCGGCUCGCUGGGUCUUUUCUGACGCUNAGGCACGAAAGCUAGGGUAGCAAACGGGAUUAGAUACCCGGUAGUCUAGCCGUAACCGAUGAGCCCUAGACUGAGGGACCCCACAUCCUCUCGGUCGUACCGAAAGUUUAAGUGCUCCCCUGGGGAGUAGGUACAGGCUGAACUUCAAGGAUUGACGGGGC
rnacentral:rRNA from 1 species